CGCACGAGAAAGGGGAGCAAUCCCUGAGUAAAGUGGCGCACGGGUGAGUAACACGUGAAUUAUCUACCUCCGAGUGGGGAAUAACUGAGAGAAAUCUUAGCUAAUACCGCAUAACACUUACGAGUCAAAGCAGCAAUGCGCUUGGAGAGGAGUUCGCGGCCGAUUAGUUAGUUGGCGGGGUAAUGGCCCACCAAGACGAUGAUCGGUAUCCGGCCUGAGAGGGCGCACGGACACACUGGAACUGAAACACGGUCCAGACUCCUACGGGAGGCAGCAGUGGGGAAUUUUGCGCAAUGGGGGAAACCCUGACGCAGCAACGCCGCGUGGAGGAUGAAAUAUCUUGGUAUGUAAACUCCUUUCGAUGGGGAAGAUUAUGACGGUACCCAUAGAAGAAGCCCCGGCUAACUUCGUGCCAGCAGCCGCGGUAAUACGAGGGGGGCAAGCGUUGUUCGGAUUUAUUGGGCGUAAAGGGUGCGUAGGCGGUUUGGCAAGUCUUAUGUGAAAUCUUCGGGCUCAACCCGAAGCCUGCAUAAGAAACUGCCGGGCUUGAGUAUGGGAGAGGUGAGUGGAAUUUCCGGUGUAGCGGUGAAAUGCGUAGAUAUCGGAAGGAACACCUGUGGCGAAAGCGGCUCACUGGACCAUAACUGACGCUGAUGCACGA
rnacentral:rRNA from 1 species